GGAGGGCGCAAGCGUUGUUCGGGAAUUACUGGGGCGUAAAGGGCAGGUAGGUGGUCUGUUAAGUCUUCUGUGAAAAUCCGGGGGCUCAACCCCGCGAAAUGCAGGUGAAACUGGCAGACUUGAGACCUGUAGAGGCUAGCGGAAUUCCUGGUGUAGCGGUGGAAUGCGUAGAUAUCAGGAAGAACACCUGUGGCGAAGGCGGCUAGCUGGGCCGGUUCUGACACUGAACUGCGAAAGCGUGGGGAGCAAACAGGAUUAGAUACCCUGGUAGUCCACGCCGUAAACGAUGGGCACUAGAUGCCGGGCAUAUAGACGUGUUCGGUGUCGUCGCUAACGCAUUAAGUGCCCCGCCUGGGGAGUACGGUCGCAAAGGCUG
rnacentral:rRNA from 1 species